UGUCACUGGAAUCUGCCAGAGUCGCUGUAAUUUUUUUUUUUAAAAAAAAAUCUGGACUUGACAAAAGAAUGCCAGCCUGACAGAGGCCGCAGGAACCAGGUUGUGGGACGAGAGCUCUUGUAAUCCUGCAGCAGCUUCAGAACGAAUUUUGCCAACACCCUGAGUGAGAACGGAAGCAGACACUGCCCCAGAUCAGCUGUGUGCUCUCAGCCGUUGCCCAGUGCCAGGCCUCUGCUGCCGUGCUCCUCAUCCUGACGGCCAUGGACUCACCAUCUG